UACAUCAGCCUCCUCAUUUUUCAGAUGGAGUGUCAGAGAGAGUGGGGCCUACCCACUGUCUCCUGGACCAGCUGGGACCAAACCCAGCCUACACAGGAGGGGUGGGUGAUAACAUGAGGCCUGGAUCUGCUUUGUUCCCAUGGAAUCCAGCAAAGCGGAUCCCCAGUUCGACUCCAGCAGGCACGUCUCUCACCUGUUCCUGCCACAUCCACUUUGCCAUCAGGGGACAGAGCUAACAUCUGGCUCUACUACCUGCAGCCUCCAGCCCCAGAGCAGCUCAGGGACAGGAAGGGUAAACUCUGCCUGGCCUUGCUGAGCUAGUUCUCGGGGCUCCCACUGCAAGCUCUGUGGUUAACGCCUCUGCUGACAGCGGACAGGACAGACUUUCUCUGAAAGUCUGAGUUUCUCUGAAUCUCUGAGGUGCAGGAUUCUCAGAAACCCAGUGGCAGCCUUGCCACACACCACUGCUGUGACGCUGGGUGAGUCACACACACGCCCAGGAACAAGCCUCCAUAUUUUGUGACAGGGUGAGUUUGGUCCCUGGUGCUGGUGCUGCAUGGUAGAUGGAAGCACAGAGGCUGCUGCGAUCAUGCGGAGCUUGUCACUUCCAGGAGCUGGAAGCCACCCAAAUCCUGCCAUUCAGAGCUGCUUGGGCUUCCUUGCAGCAUGGUGGCCAGGUUCCAAGUGUGAAUGUACCAAGAGACAAGAAGUAGUUCUCAUCUGAGCUGCAUCAUGUCCUCCAUAUUCUACUGGUUGAGAAGUCACAGAGCCAAGAUUCAAGGGCCUCUUGAUGGGAGUGGUGUCAAAGAGUUUUCGGGUGUGCUUUAAAAACACACCUGAGGUUUCCUGGAGGAGAGGAGAGCAGCUACACAUAUUGCAGGGUUUGGAUGGGGCCUGUAAGCUCCCUAGUAUGGCUGGAGCAGCCUUAGUCUACCACCGGAUGACUGAGGCCUCACUCCUGCUACCCUGCAGAAGCCUGCAAUGUGCAUGGUGGAUUACAGUCUCCAAAAGCGGCCGCAGCACUUCCAGUCCCACAUGUGCUUCUGGAACAUGACCCUCCCCAUCAAGAAGUGCUAUCGAUUUUCAUUCCCCUUGAAUCUGCAUGGGCUUGGGACUACCUUGAUGAAUACAAUGUGGCAGAAUUGAUGCUUCUUGUGACUACCUUGAUGAAGAGAAUGUGGCAGAACUGGUGCGCCUUCUGAGGCCAGUCAUAAAAGGUGAAAUGGCUUCCACCUACCUGCCUUCCCCUCAGACACUCGUUCUUGGAUCCCAGCCACCAUUCGGCAAAAAAGCCCAGGCUGCAUGUAGGUGCUCUGGCUGACAGCCCAAGCUAAGGUCUCAGCAUCAACCAUUGGAUAUCUUAGUGAAAGACCAGCCUUCGAGUCUUCCAAAGACCCAGAUAACAGGGGUACCAAUGACAAAUCAUCCCCACUGUGCCCUACCUGAAUCCCUGCCGCACAAAAGCCAUAAACAUCAUAAACUCUUGCUGUGUGACACAAAGCAAAAUAUAACAAUAAGACUUUGGGAAGCAGUUCCAUGCGCAGGAGUCUGGUGGAGCCUCACCCCAGAACAGGUUGGCCACUGAAGCUGGCAUUCACCCCUGUAACCUGGACGGCAGGGAGAGGUGGUGUGGGCAGAAGAAAGGGCAGGUGUUCAGCCUUGGGCGGAAGGGACGCCAGUGGGGCUAGAGCACAGCCUUGUGGGAAUGCGGUGGUCAAGGAACCACCUGUCAUCCUGAGGGUUCAGAGGGACUCUUGGUGGUAUCUGCUUCCAGGAGAGGGGGUGAGGAGGUGAGCUGGAGUCAGAGGAACAAGGCCACUGGCCAGACCUGAAAGUGGGAACAAGGCCUUCUCUGUGGUGGGAUAAGAAAGGGUCUGACCAAGCUGUGGGAUGGUCCAAGGGCCAGGAAGCUGUGCAUAGACCACUGGGCCCUGGCAUUGACAGCUGGGUAGCUCAGGACCAGGGGCAGAGCUGAGGGCAGGAGGUAGGGAUGUUGAGGGCCAAGCAUGUUGUCAGAAAGGCAGUGAAUGAUGAUCUCUUUACAACAUGGCCUUUGUUGGUUGUCCUGCCCUUCACAGCACUCUGUGGAGGACUGGGUGUGACAUCCGCUGCAGCCCCAUCACCCUUUCAGUUAUACUUACACCUUGUUAAAUAUCCCUUCACUUUUCUGAGUCUGACACAUGGGAGGGGCUCCUGCUGCCAGGCAGCUGCUGGAGUUAAGCCCAGAUGAUGGGUCGGUGGCAUGCCCUCAGGACCCUUCCGGGGCUCCACAGCUGGCACAGCCUGGGCACUCUCUGGUGGUUAUCACUGAAUGGCUGGGCAGCAUCAAGUCCUUUGUGAGGGGCCAUCCCCAUUACUGCAAGUGCCUGUGGGAAAACGCAACUGCCUGGCUGCUGUAAGUCCACCCCUCAACUCGGUUUCUACCAUUUGCUGAGCAGGAAGUGGGAGUGCCCCACCACAGAGGGCAGGCGGCAGGCUCACGCUGGGCCCCGCUCACUCACUCACCUCUGUGGUCUCCUGGAACCCCUCCCAGGCUGCAUAGAGGAUUUCCUCUGGGCUACCUUAGUAUUUAAUUUUUCUUUUUGGUGUUUGUUCCUAAUAUAGAAACAAGUCUCUUCCAGCCACUCCUGGCAAUCUGAGGGGCAUUUUGUGUGUCCCCAGCACCUGUGCAGCCUCACACUUGGAGGGUAUCCAAUCACAUCUGCUGGAGGAACAAGUGGCCCAAUAUUGAAUGGGCCCUCUGGGUCGGUGUCAUCUGUCCCCUCUCACCAACAGAUAUGCUGCUCAGAGUCCAGAAGUUACUGGUGAUGCACACAUGUCCUUAAAAGGCUAAGAAUGCUGGCUGUGGCAGAGGCAAACUACCAAAUGAAAAGGAGCCUCAGUAGCUCUUCCAGCAGGGCCUGACCAGCUGUGGGUAAUGUUCACUUGUGAGAGGGGGCAAUUCGGCAGGCCUGGGAGCAAGAGCUCACACAGAGGGCCUGCCCUGGCCCUUGAAGAACCACAGACACCGGGGCAGCAGCCUCUCAGCACAGCCCUCAUCUGUGAGGACUCUGGGCCCACCUGACCACCUGCACUCUCUUCCCACCCACCCCCGGCCUUGGUAGGGGGUGAGCCAAGGACAACCCUUCUGCCCGGAGAAGGGGCUCAGGAAGAAGGGUGUCUAGGGUGUCUUAGCUUCAGUUCUCCAAGAAGCUGACCCUGAGAGAAGAUUCGAGAGCAAGUGGAGCUUAACCCUGCAGGGAAGCCCUGGGAAGCCACCAGCACUCACACCAGGGUGGCUCCACCCAGGGGCUAGGGGCCUGGGGCAUUAUGCCCCGACUCCUCAGCCUACGGCUGAGAGCUGCUCCCCGGAGACGGCAUUCCCUCACACUUGCUAGCGACUUUCUAGGGCCAGGAGCCCAACCUCAGGUGGAGAGGUGCAGGGAGGGCAGGAGGAGGUUCUAGAAGCAAUGAAGUGGUCACGCCCAAGGGACAUGGGUGAGGCACUACUGGAGGCCAGUGGGGGAUGCCAGUGCAUGUGUGGCUGUCACUGGUCUGAGGAAGCUGGGGUCACCCUCACUAGCAUAAGCCAUCUGAGGAGCGUACCAGGCCCUCCAACCUUUUAAUGGUAGAACCUGUGGGGAGGGGCUGUGCCCACAAGAGGAAAAGCUACUUGCUAGCUGGGCUGGGGACAGAGGCCCAGGCUAGAGAUGGGCCCAGGUGCAAAUUCUAAGCUGCCAUUGGCAUCAGGGCUCUGCCUAAGCUAUAGAGAUUCCCCUCCCCAUCCCUCCUAGUUUGUCACUUAAGAGUAUACUCAUCUUUCCCCCAUCCUCACCUGUGCCCUUUUCACCAAUCUCACAUUGGAGUGCUGAAAGUGUGGCUACCAGGGCAAACCUGGUGCUGAUGGAUAGCAAGCCUUUGGGGCCGCCCCUAAAAUGGUCUCUUGGACCAGUGGGCUGAGCAUGGCUGCCUCAGGGUGGGACCCGGGCCUCCCAGCAGCCUCUGAGGUCCUGGCUGUCAAUGGUCGGGGUAGGACUACAUGACCUCCAGGGGCUCUUCCGGAAUUAAGCAUCAUCUUUGAAACUGUCAGGCAUUUCAUGGUAUGUCAGGCUCUGUGCUAAGUACUUUCAAUUGUUAUCCUCUUCAAUCCCCACCACACCCUAUGAGCUAGGUGACUACUAUUAUCUUCCGUUUGCGGAUAAGGAAACUGAGGCCCCAGAAGUUAAGAAACUGGCCCAAGUUAGGAAGGGUAUGUCAGAGUUGGGUGUGAGCCCUGGGCCAGGCCUAGGACCUGCCCCGUGGUGCAGUGAGGCUGGACCACAGUGCUGGGGCUGGUACACGGUUCCAUCGUCCACUCCCCGCCUGACGAUGCACUCCGAGGGACUCCUCUGGGCCGGGCCUGAUCAGCACCUUGUGCCCCCAUGCAUGGCCUGAAAUAAGUCAAGCUACAGUCUCAGUUUCACAUUAGUCUUUUAUUAUAACCAUAUUGAAUGGGAUCGCUUUGCCAAAAGGAGAAAUCAUUUCUUAAAUCAAUAUGAGUUAUAGCAUAAAGAUGGAUGAGAAAAAAGCGAUAGGACAUAAAUGGCAUCACUGAAUAUUCCAUCAAUCAAAUGAAUUGUGCCACUGUAAGAAAAACUGCUAUGACAGCUUUUACAUCAAAGUGGUCUCAAGCCUGUUUAUACCAACUUUAUACAUCUUUAUAACACUGAGAAAGCAGCCUGGCCUUUGAGAAGGAAGCCUGGCUUGCCAGGUGCCAUACUCAAUGCAUCCGGCCUCUUCCCUCUGCUCCACAGCCUCCCCAGUGCCCCUCCUCUGGACACACAGGGCAGGGGCCAGGGGCCAGGUGUGUGUCCGCAGGAAAGGAGGGAUGGAAUUGGUUGUAGCCGCCACAGAACGGCCACUCUAUGUGGGGACCUAAGUCCUCCAUACACACUCCUGUUCUAUAAUGAACCCCUGGGGCAGUUUCUUAAAAAAAAAACCACACGAAAAUCAUGUGCAUCAACUCUGACAGGUUAUUAUUAGGAGGCCAGCAUGACUGCCACAGAGCUUGCUAUUUGUUCAGCAUCUCUGACAAGGAGAGGAGGCAUUCCCGCAUUCCCGUUGAGAGCGGCAACUGACCCCCAACUCCCUGAGGCAGCUUCCUUAGCAAGCCCAGGGCUGACACACGGGAGUCCAUCGGUCAUCUGCAGACAAGGCAAAUCACAGGGAGGUCCUGGUUUAUUUUUAGAGUCACAUUCCUUCUGCAGUGAUAUUAUCUCUUUCCAGAUUGCAGUUACCUCUGAACAUCAGCAGGAGGUCAGCUUUGGCAGAGUAAUCCAGUGUAACUAAAUGUUUAACGUGUUAUCUGACCCUGUGGCAUACACUCAAGGUAAGGCAAAGUAAUUAGACUUGCUAGUCUGUAACUCUCACACGUAAUGUACAAAGCUAAGUUUUAGCUCAAAUUCCAAUCUGAUCAAAGAGGAAUGCAUAAAACACAUAGGGGCAUAUAUAAAAAAAGGAGAUGAUGAUGGGAAUUAAUCUAAGCUUCAUGUAUACAAAAUGUAUUUAACUGCUAAUAAUCAAAACAUAAGAAGAGUUCCACUGAUUACUACAUUUGUUAACAAAACACAAUAUAUUCAAGAUUUAAAAAAUGUGCAAGUAAACAUAAGUAUCUGAUAAAAUAAUAAAAGGAACACAUAUUCUUUAAUAGCACUGUAACUAAUAAAAUUGCAAAUAAUACUCAACUAUGAAGAAUAAAAAAAAAAA